CACGAUCUUGGCUUACCGCAACUUCCGCCUCCCAGGCUCAAGCAAUUUUCCUGCCUCAGCCUCCUGAGUACCGGGGAUUACAGAGGAGAGUGAAAAGAAUGAGCAGCACACACUCAGCACUGAGGAAGGAAAUGUUCAUCUGGAGAAGACAGGCCCAAGAGUGACUGCUGUCUCCACACACCUAGUGGCACUCUUGGCCAGGAGGGACUGUCCUUUUCUGUGGUUCCAAAGGAAGAACCAGGAUCAAUGAGUGGAAAUUCAACGAACACUGACUUUGGUCAGGUAAAGCAUUAACCUUUAUGGAUGUGCUGCCUUGUGAGAUUGUGCUCUCCCUGUUGCUAAAUUGAUGAAGUACAGGCUACAUGACCCUGUGGUUGGGAUAAGGAGGAUUACCUUCAAAGAUCUGAUUGGCUUUGGACUAUUUUUUUUCUUUUUUGCCUUUUAGAAAACUUUUUAUUUGUGUGUAACUCUUAUAUUUUUCACUUUUAAAUAAAUGUAUACAAUAGUUGCAAAAAUGAAAACAGUACAAAAAAUAGCUGUAGACCUUUUAUCCACAUUCAUCAGU
rnacentral:lncRNA from 10 species